rnacentral:lncRNA from 1 species
UACAUAUGAAUUCUUUACAACCCACUGAAGAUACAAACAAUAAUAGUAUACUUGAAUGAAAUUAUAAAAGCUACAAAGCCAAGUAAAGAGAAACAAGAACAUUGAAUGAAAUUAACUAGCUUAAAAUCGUUCAACAUCUGAAAUGGAUUAGCAAACUCAAAAGAUGUAGUGCCAACCCAACAUCUGCUUUGUCAGCAUCUCCACCAACAUGUGUUUACUUGCUUGUUGUAGGCUCUAAACAAGAUCCCUACUCAAUUUCAAACGUAAUUUAUCUCUCUAGUUAAACGAUGAAAGGUGCACCAAUGGGUUUUAGGCCUC